rnacentral:tmRNA from 3 species
GGGGGUGUCCUGGCUUCGACGGGGGUAGUGAGAUGACCUGGUGCAUGCCGAGGGGGCAGCUUUCCUCGUUAAUCCAGCAGCAAACUCAUAGUUGCCAACGACGACAACUACGCUCUGGCCGCUUAAGGCCUAGCCCCGAACCCACUUGUGCUCGUGCUCGUCGGUGUAGGGUCAUUAUCACGGGAUCGCCGAAGACUGCCGCCUGGCGGUACUAGGUCAAAUCAAUCAGGCUGGUUCCGCGGUGCGCCUCGCCCAUCGUGCUUGUCGCGGAACGAGAUCGAACGAUGAGCUAAGCAUGUAGAUCCGGGCGUUGAACGCCUUCGGACGCGGGUUCGACUCCCGCCACCUCCACCA